GAAUCCGGAGGCGAUUCUACACAUUCAGAGAAAAGCAAGCGCAGGGCUCUCUGGUUAUAGAGUUUAUGUGUGCGUGCGUGCUCGUGAGGACGAGGUUAUUUUAUGGUUGUGUGAGUGUGUGUGUGUGCGCGUGUGCGUGCGUGCGAGAGAUGUGUGGGUAUCCAAAUAUAGCCAGACUCAGAGAUUGAUGUUCAUUAUUUUAUGAGACAAGGAAAGGAGGAAGCUUUGGUGACUACAGACCUUGUACACACGGAUCUUGAGGAACUUGUGGGGGGUCCCUGUGUGAGAAGAGCACGGAUUGGUCGAAUGACGAGUUUUCGUAUGCUCCAAUGAAAUCCUUCACUGCUCUCUAUUUACUGUGAGCUGGAGCGCAGUAAACCCCCUCCUUCAACAGAUCUAUCGACUGACAGGAGUAGAUCAGCUUUUUGCUUAACCACAUCACGAACAUGAGAAUAUGUACAGUAUGGCCAUAGGAAGGGCAUCGGAGCACGGAUAAAAUUACGGUGCGCGGGCUCGUAUGGGAAGGGAGUCGUAAACCAGAGCGGAUUCUGUGCAUUUCUGCGCGAAUGUGUAGAACUGGAGUCUACUGCACACGGUCCGGCCAUUGGCUACAACAACAUGGACUGUUAGUAAUUAUGGACCAAGCCUGCAACUCAGAUGUCACAUUCAAAGCGUAAGGAAAAGUCUUUCACGAAUCUUUUUGCGGUCUGGGCUUGCUGUUCUCAACUAUCAAUGGGAAGCCCUUACCCCAAAAAGCAUUUGCGGAGGGCACACACAGCGAAUAAUAGAAGAAAGCUCUCUCUUACUUCUGCUCCUCUUGGACUAUCACCAUAUUCAUCGCCAGAACGGCAAACAUUGCAAUUCUAAUGAGUACUAUUUUAUUUUUUUUAACUGGAAAAAAAAAAAAAAUCCACGGUUUUACUAUUUUCUUUCUUUUUUGAGUCUGGCACUCCCUUUCAGUAUCAAGUGGCUCCAACCGCGCCUUAUCAAUUUAACGUGAUUUAAUUCUGAAUUUUAACACUGAGGGUUGGGGACGCUUACUAUAUAACUAAAAUAAACGAUGCGAUGCUUAACGGUUUUACCAUGUGAAUAAACAACUGAAUUAAAGCACAAAUGCAAUAAAAAUAUUAUUACAUCUUGAUCGUGACAUCUUAUUUGGAGUUUUGCAGAGACGCAGCUGACGCGCGCGCAGGUGCUGUUGCAUACAGCUCGUGGAACAUCAGUUGUGGUUGGAGAGUUGGCAUACAAUUUUCUUACACGAUUCAUGGCAAUCCAACAUGUUUCAAUGGAAAAAUAGUCACAGCAGCCGAUGUAUAGACUCACUGAUCCUUGACUGACUCCUUGUUAAAAAUACGCAUGCUAGCUGCUCACUAUAUAGGAACAGGUCAAAAUAUCACAAUGUUAGACUAGUAGUGUCACGUGCCCUUACCUGUGCUCAAAAUUAGGGAGCCGGAGUUAUGCUGUCCAGACAUAACAUAUGGCUUGUUCACAUUUAACGCAUUGUGUAAAAUUAUUUUUCGAAUUUGUAAAAAAAGCAAAGAUUAUUACAAGAAAACACUACUUACUGCAUAAUUCAAGUGUAUUACAAGUGCAGCUUCUUUGUAAUUAAUUGGAAAACGUAAUAACAAUUUCUGACUCAAAAAUAUUAUGAAAUAACCAUUAUUAUUAUUAUUAUUAUUUUUUUAUUUUUAUUAUUAUUAUUUUUUUCUCUGUGUAGACAGAUUAAUUGUACACAGUAUAAACUGACCUAAGGGAGUCUUCAAAAUCCACCCAGAGUUCCUAGCAUUAGAUUUAUCCACACUUCAUCAAGUAGAACACACACUCUCUGUUGUGAUUUGAGGAAAACCUAACUGAAUCAUUUAAUUGUUAUCAUCAUGGCAUUGUACGAAAGCCUCUGAUAAUAUAAUAAGACGCAAAACAGUAUUGGUCCAGCAGUGCUGCAAGCAUGAAAAUGCAUUAUUUAGUGCAGCAGUUAACCAUGACAGUAAUAUCAUAAAGUUUUAAGGCAAGUUUUCUACUGCUACGUGUUUAUCAUUAUGCUUUGAGAUCUGUGUUUAUGCAUUUUGCAAACAGUGGAUAAUAUGUUAUUGUGCUUGUUUCAGAACAUGCUACGUCAUGCCUGACAUUUAAACUGUGGUAGUUUAGUAAGGAUCAAAGACAAGGGGACUCCGUGAUUUAGCUAUAUGAUUAGUCAAGAAAUUGGUUUGCAAAAAAAUUGUAAAGAGAAUUAUUUGAUGCAUCCAAAUACACGAGUCAUAUGUGUGUAUGCGUGUGUAGGUGCUAACAGCACUUUCCUUAAUUUCCACUUGUCUCAAAUUUUCAUAGGCAUCAAAAAUAUCCUAACAAAUAUGUAUUUUCAGACUAUUUUAUGAUGAAACUGCGCCAUCAGUGUUCAGGCCUUUUCCCGUUCUUGUUCCAUUUCAUGUUCCAGUCACAUUCUCUAAUUAAGGAGAGAUAAAUCAAUUUGUUUUAUAAAUAAAAGUACUUUUAAAUAAAACUAAUGUAUAAGAACAAUGCAUGUUGAUCCGUAUGCAGGUUAUUCUAGCUAAAACAGAGAGAAGAAGACACACACACACACACACACACUCAGAGAGAGAGGGAGGAAUGGGAAUCCGAGCGAACACAUCCAGCCCAUGCCUAAAUAACAGAUGCCAGGCACGUAAAUAAUGCCAUUUGUGUGUGUUUUCUCAAAUGCUUGUUAUCAUGUCAAUUAUUUUAUAGCCACUGGAUAUGUAACAUUUAUGGAUCAUCUUUUCUUUGUCCUUUUUUUUCAUUAUGCUGCAGAUUGUAACCAGAUUACAUAUUUAGUGUAAAUAUAAAGAUUUACAGUUCUGUAAGCAUCGGGAAUUGUUCAUUUUUAUGUUUUAGAACUAAAACAUAACAGGAGGCUGACCCUCAUCCUCGGACUCUGUUUAAGAGGUGAUGUGCUCAUAUCGUAACUCCUCAAAACCAUGUAUACAAACAGUGGAUUUUUAUUUUGUAUUCAUUCAAUAAUAAGGAAAUAAAUGUUUACAGUGACAAAUUA